rnacentral:tRNA from 14 species
UAGAUUGAAGCCAGUUGUUUAGGGUAUUUAGCUGUUAACUAAAAUUUCGUGGGAUGAAAGCCCACCAAUCUAG